ACUUCAGUGGCCUAGUGGUUAGAGCAUCUGCCUCAGAUACUGGAGGUCGUGGGUUCAAUCCCUGGUCAAGUC